UGUUAUGGUGGCUUUGUGUGGGAGACCUUCGGGUCUGCCGGGUUCCUCGUAUCCUCGGUCUGCGAACCCGACUACCCCGUGC
rnacentral:antisense_RNA from 2 species